UCCCUGGUAGUCUAGUGGCUGGGACUCUGCUCUUUAAAUGCAGGAGGCACUGGUUUGAUCCCUGGUUAAGGAA
rnacentral:tRNA from 1 species